GGGUGGUAAUGCCGGAUGUUCCAGUUGAUCGCAUGGUCUUCUGGGAAASSUUUCGCGGUAUGGGAUGGGGUCGCGUCCUAUCAGCUUGACGGCGGGGUAACGGCCCACCGUGGCUUCGACGGGUAGCCGGCCUGAGAGGGCGACCGGCCACAUUGGGACUGAGAUACGGCCCAGACUCCUACGGGAGGCAGCAGUGGGGAAUAUUGCACAAUGGGCGCAAGCCUGAUGCAGCGACGCCGCGUGAGGGAUGGAGGCCUUCGGGUUGUAAACCUCUUUUAUCGGGGAGCAAGCGUGAGUGAGUUUACCCGUUGAAUAAGCACCGGCUAACUACGUGCCAGCAGCCGCGGUAAUACGUAGGGUGCAAGCGUUAUCCGGAAUUAUUGGGCGUAAAGGGCUCGUAGGCGGUUCGUCGCGUCCGGUGUGAAAGUCCAUCGCUUAACGGUGGAUCCGCGCCGGGUACGGGCGGGCUUGAGUGCGGUAGGGGAGACUGGAAUUCCCGGUGUAACGGUGGAAU
rnacentral:rRNA from 1 species